GACGAACGCUGGCGGCGUGCUUAACACAUGCAAGUCGAACGGGCUCUGUCUGGCUGUGUGCUGGGUGGGGUUAGUGGCGAACGGGUGAGUAAUACGUGAGUAACCUGCCCUCUUCUUUGGGAUAAGCCUUGGAAACGGGGUCUAAUACUGGAUAUUCCUGUCUGGUCGCAUGGCUGGGUGGGGAAAGUUUUUUUCGGUGGGGGAUGGGCUCGCGGCCUAUCAGCUUGUUGGUGGGGUGAUGGCCUACCAAGGCGUCGACGGGUAGCCGGCCUGAGAGGGUGACCGGCCACACUGAGACUGGGAUACGGCCCAGACUCCUACGGGAGGCAGCAGUGGGGGGUAUUGCACAGUGGGCGCAAGCCUGAUGCAGCGACGCCGCGUGGGGGAUGACGGCUUUCGGGUUGUAAACCUCUUUCGUCGGGGGACAAGGCUCUGCUUGGUGGUGGGGUUGAGGGUACCCGGUGAAGAAGCGCCGGCUAACUACGUG
rnacentral:rRNA from 1 species